rnacentral:rRNA from 1 species
CACGUAGGGGGCAAGCGUUGUCCGGAAUUAUUGGGCGUAAAGAGCUCGUAGGUGGUUUGUCGCGUUGUUCGUGAAAACUCACAACUCAAUUGUGGGCGUGCGGGCGAUACGGGCAGACUGGAGUACUGCAGGGGAGACUGGAAUUCCUGGUGUAGCGGUGGAAUGCGCAGAUAUCAGGAGGAACACCGGUGGCGAAGGCGGGUCUCUGGGCAGUAACUGACGCUGAGGAGCGAAAGCGUGGGGAGCGAACAGG